UACAGAGGGGGCUAGCGUUGUUCGGAAUUACUGGGCGUAAAGCGCGCGUAGGCGGCUUUGUAAGUUAGAGGUGAAAGCCCGGAGCUUAACUCCGGAACUGCCUUUAAGACUGCAUCGCUAGAAUCGUGGAGAGGUGAGUGGAAUUCCGAGUGUAGAGGUGAAAUUCGUAGAUAUUCGGAAGAACACCAGUGGCGAAGGCGACUCACUGGACACGUAUUGACGCUGAGACGCGAAAGCGUGGGAGCAAACAGG
rnacentral:rRNA from 1 species